rnacentral:rRNA from 1 species
CAAUAGCGUAUAUUAAAGUUGUUGCGGUUAAAAGCUCGUAGUUGGAUUUCUGUCGAGGGCGGCCGGUCCGCACUAUGUGCGUGUAUCUGGUUCGGUCUUGGCAUCCUCUUGGGGAACGUUUCUGUGCUUGAUUGCAUGGGGCGGGAUUCAAGACUUUUACUUUGAGGAAAUUAGAGUGUUCAAAGCAGGCUAUUGCUUGAAUACAUGAGCAUGGAAUAAUGGAAUAGGACUUUGGUCCCAUUUUGUUGGUUUCUAUGGGCCGAAGUAAUGAUUAAGAGGGACAAUUGGGGGCAUCCGUAUUUCGUUGUCAGAGGUGAAAUUCUUGGAUUUACGAAAGACGAACAACUGCGAAAGCACUUGCCAAGAGUGUUUUCAUUAAUCAAGAACGAAAGUUAGAGGAUCGAAGACGAUCAGAU